CCUUGUUCUUUUUGUAUUCAUCGCUUAUUUCCCUGGAAAGGAAAAAAAAAAAAAAAGGAAAAAAACCCUCUAGAUGUGAGGGCUCAAAUCACUGAAGAUGAGAAGCAGCAAAAGGAAAUAAAGAGGUCAAACACCUAAGUUAGCUUAUGAUUAAAAAGAAAUUAGUGGGGCUAUUUUUAAUUUGUUUAAAUAUAUUACUUUCUAUUAAAGAGGUCUUUAUAUUUCACUAAGUAUGAGAUGAAGUGUGUCACCAGAGGAAGAUUUUUUUUCAGUUUUAGCACCUUUUCUCUUCAAAACGUAGAAGUCUGAUAACACUGAAGCCACAAAUGUGGAUAGAGCGGGAAUGGCAGCAAUGUGGGACUUUCCCUCUACAGUACACCGCAGUCGCCUUCCAGUUGGGCUGGUUUGUGGGAAAUCAGGGAAGAGAGAUGUGGACUGUGCAUAACAGCACUCUGCAGUGGGAGAAGUGAGAGAAACUAAGCUACAUCCUGCAAGACUGGAGAUGGAGAGGAGGAAGUUUGAGCCUUCUCAGUGAACUUAAGCUUUUCUGCCACGGGGGAACUGGUGGAAAAGGGUUAGGAAAAUCAUGAGUUCAGAAAAUAUUCCUCCAGGUGUGAAGUCUGAUGUCAGUCAGCUUCAGAGAAACAGCACCAGCUGAGCUGAGGACCUGCAAGCAAGUGUCAGGUGCAGGAAGGUGAGAAAUGGGCAGAGCUUCCAGGGUGCUGAACCUUCUUCCUGUCCUAGAGACACACAAAACUCUCGUGCUCCAUCUGGCCAGACGUGAGCAGUGGGAUUUGAGUCCAGUCUCUCUCGGUGUCACCGUGCAGGGACAGGCAGAGAGCCUGUGGUGUCCCCUCCCCACCGCUGCAGAGGCUCCGGGCUGCCACUGCAGAUCAUUUGACAAAUUUCACGAAGUGGGGAAAAUGGACAACCCUGCUGGUAUCUUGUGAGCCCUUGUCACAGAACAGAGCUUGAACAAUUUCGAUUAAAGCAGUAUGUUCGAGACUGUCAUUAGACCUGCAUUAAAUUACAUAUCUGGAAUGUUAAAAAUAAAGAGUACUGAAGCUUAUUCACAGCUGCCUGUGGUAAAGGACCUUGAUAAUGAGACAUCACAGCCUGUUCUUGUCUGGUCAAUGAGACCGUCCAGUCCCUCUUGUCGUGUAAUUUGUGGUGGCUUUACGGACUUUGAAGCCAAUCUAAAAGACAAACCCCAAGCCUUUGGAUGCUGCUCGGCCAGGACAAACCCCAAAGCAUGGUAUGUUCGACAGUUACUUGUCUAUACAGCAGCUUUGUUACACACUGCUGAGAUGCACAAAAUCCUCUGUAGAAGGAUCAGACUGGCUACUUCCAUUUGAUUCUGUAAAGUGCUUUAUGAUCAUUCUGUGAAUGUAACAGCACAAGUAAAAAUAUCUCUGUUUUAUUAAGAGUUUCAGUUAAAGUGUUCAAUACACAGAUUUUAUCGUGAGAGAGCAUCACAAAGACUGAGUACAACAUAAUGGCAAGCCAGGUAUUGUUAUGAUUAUCAUUACUACUAUUUAUAUAUGAUCACUGAAGUACUAAGGGAAAACUGGGAAAUGGAGUUCCUGAGUCCCACAGAGCUCAUAGUAACAGCUGUUUUUGGAGGAUGCAACAAUAGCAGACCAGCUCUGCUUCAUGGAACAAUUAAUGGUGCAUACAGCCCAGUCUGGAGAUCUCUGAUCCCGAAUGGGUUUUCCCAUUUUCAAAAAUCAAAGAAGGUAGAAUUUCAGUUGGAUCCUGCCUUUUUUUAUUCUGGUGCCUCUUACUCUUCCCAUUGCCUCUUUUCUCUGCCUGUUGGUGUGAAGGGCACCCGUGCACAUUAGAACUGUGAUGUGUCUGUUUAUCCAGCAAAGCAGCUGGGAACUCCUCAUCCAAGUGGUAUCUGAAUGCUUUUGCAGGGGAGAGAUAUUCUGCCUUCCUCACUCGUCCUUCCCAUUGGAGAUUUUUAAGUGUCUUGGCCUCCUAAAAGCUAAAGUGGAGCUUUUGAUUGAGAUUUAAACCGAGUGUAAAUCUUUGAAAAGCAGAAAGCCCAAUAGGGGCUGUAUCACCAGAGCAGUGAAUGGGCUGAGCUGAGCAGGGCAGAGGCAGGACUGGCCCAAAAUCCUGUCCUUACACCAAAGAGCCGUGACCUUGUGUAACACUCAGAGCUCUGUUUGGCUUUGGCUGUUCCCUAAUCCUGACCCUUGACCAACACCUGAAGGCUACAGGGAAGCUUUUCUCCAUCCUUAUCUUGACUGUCAUUCCCUGGCAGAUUCCAGCUGCUGAGCUCAACACCCUGAAAAAAAAAGAAGCUGGGGAGUUGUUUUCCACUAGGAUUUAUAUAGAUGGGAUGCUUGGAAGUUAAAUCUUCCAGCCACCACAGUGCACCAUAGUGUAAGACAAAGAGCAGGAGAUAAAUUUUCCUGCCUUUGAAAUUCCUGCUCAUGUCACUCUCUGAGCAAAUUUUUACUAUUUUGACACUGGUGAGAAGAGCUAUUCCAGUGUGAGCCUCUUUCUCUCUGCACUGCAGUGCAGGAUGAAGCUAAGGAUGAGCAAUUGGAGCGCUGUCAGGAUUACACCCAGGUCAGAUUUUUCAUUCUGCUAAAAGAUGCUUUUUUGACAUGGGAAUCAGGAAAAUACAUUGAUGCAAUGUGUUGAAAAGGACCAAAAGGUUGUUAUUUGCUCCCACCAAUACAGAGAGACACAACCCUCCUGUAAAGCAAAAAUAUUUUCCAGUGAAAACACAAACUUUGACACUGAGUGCAACAUAACGGGAGGGCCCAAGAGGGGCUUUGGGGAGCUCCUCAGGGAGAGGGGGUUUUUCCAUGGGCUUUUUUGCUCGUGUCUGUAGGGUGAGCCCACAAAUGUUUGGGUAGAGAAGGCAGCACGCAUCCAGAUUUUAAAAGAAAUAAAAUAAAAGGGAUUGGCUAUUUUUCCUUCUCAUGGAUGAGGUUACGAGGUUAAUAAAAGAGUUAAUCCCAGCCUGCUCUGCAAAAGGGAACAGCUCACAUUUGUGAGACUUCAAAAGGCUUCAGAGUGUCUGUGUAUGGAUGUUGUUAUUUCCUGUCAGGGCUAUCCCAAGAAGGUGGGGGCUGGGAGCUGAUUUUUUGGAAGAAGAGUUUGGCCUUUAACUAAAUCAGUUGGAGUGGAAAUAAAAAGGUUAGUAUAAAAUUAUUUUGAGAGUAAACUCCAAUUCAAUAAAAUUCUGUGUAUUUUUUUUCUUUUUUUUUCCCCUGUGAAAAUCUAAAAUUAAAACUUACUACACAGCAGUGGAGGCCGACCAGAGCAUUUCAACCAGAUGGCCCAGAGGAUCUGCUUGGGUUUUUCUUGUUUGGUGUUUUUU